rnacentral:lncRNA from 1 species
AGGAAUUAUGGCUGUCGCAUUAACCGGUAAUGGCACAAUCCUCUUGAUGCUUGUGAAAUACAGUGACAUAUUAAUUAAUAGAAAGAGAGGCUCACUGAUCAGAAUUAUUUAUUGCGACAGGUUUUUGGCCACUAAACUGUGGUCAGACUUUGACAGGUACAAAACUAAUAAAAAUGCAAGCUUACAAUUAUUAUGUCACAUCGCAAGUCUAGUAUAUUUUAAUUAAUAAACAAUUAUGGUCAAUGAGCAUCUCAUAUUUUUCUUUACCUAACUGUGAUUCAGAGACAAGUUUUUACAUUAUACAUACAAAUACAAU